rnacentral:rRNA from 1 species
GCGCAGCAGUCGAGAAACUUUACAAUGUGCGAAAGCACGAUAAGGGAACUCUGAGUGCCUCCUAAGGAGGCUGUUCAGGUGUCUAAAAAGCACCUGGAGUAAGGGCUGGGUAAGACCGGUGCCAGCCGCCGCGGUAACACCGGCAGCCCAGGUGGUAGCCACUUUUAUUGGGUCUAAAGCGUCCGUAGCCGGUUGAGUAAGUUCCUUGGGAAAUUUGGCUGCUCAACAGUCAAGCUUCCAGGGAAUACUGCUCGACUUGGGACUGGGAGAGGUCAGAGGUACUCCAGGAGUAGGGGUGAAAUCCAUUAAUCCCUGGGGGACCACCGGUAGCGAAGGCGUCUGACCAGACCAGGUCCGACGGUGAGGGACGAAGGCUAGGGUCGCGAACCGGAUUAGAUACCCGGGUAGU